rnacentral:rRNA from 1 species
AGAGUUUGAUCCUGGCUCAGAUUGAACGCUGGCGGCAUGCUUUACACAUGCAAGUCGAACGGCAGCACGGGGGCAACCCUGGUGGCGAGUGGCGAACGGGUGAGUAAUGCAUCGGAACGUACCGUGUAAUGGGGGAUAACGAGUCGAAAGACUUGCUAAUACCGCAUACGCCCUGAGGGGGAAAGUGGGGGAUCGCAAGACCUCACGUUAUACGAGCGGCCGAUGCCGGAUUAGCUAGUUGGUGGGGUAAAGGCUCACCAAGGCGACGAUCCGUAGCUGGUCUGAGAGGACGACCAGCCMCACUGGGACUGAGACACGGCCCAGACUCCUACGGGAGGCAGCAGUGGGGAAUUUUGGACAAUGGGGGCAACCCUGAUCCAGCCAUUCCGCGUGAGUGAAGAAGGCCUUCGGGUUGUAAAGCUCUUUCAGGAGGGAAGAAACGGUUUUGGUUAAUACCUGAGACUAAUGACGGUACCUUCAGAAGAAGCACCGGCUAACUACGUGCCAGCAGCCGCGGUAAUAC